ACGGGCGGCAGCGGGCGGUCUGAUCCUCGCCUCCGGCAAGAGGGGAGACCGCGCGUCCCCCUGUCGCAUUGUGCCGCUGCCGCUCGCGGGAUGCGGACGAGUCUGUUGAGUGUGUUGUGCCGUACCUGCCGUCUCCUCUUCGGGGCAUGAACGCAGGAGGCAAGAUUGGACAGGCGACGGGCGACUCAACCGCUCAAGAUGUGUAGAAUGUGGAUGGCGGAGGAGCGGCGGCCGAGGACGUGUGACGUGAUAAUAUCUGAAGCGUGGCUGACUCGAAAAAGUGUAGACUUAUCUUCAUG